rnacentral:lncRNA from 1 species
GUAAGGUGUGGUUGAGACUAUCUGGACUGUGCACUUGACUGAAUCCUGAACCCCAUUAAGGCUUCUAUAUAAACUUUUAAGAUAUAGUGGGUGGGUGCGGAGACUUGCCUUGUGGCUUCCUGAGACAAGCCUGAUGUGUCCCUUCGUCUCAGAAGUGACUUCAGAUUGUAGUCAGAGAAGCAGAUCUAAGGGGACACAGAAUUCUUAUGCACAGCCCUAGGAUUAACUUACUCAAAGAUAAAGUUUGGAGAUUUUCUCAUUUCUAUCAAUGUGAUGAUAUAGAGCUGUACAGGAAGAACCAGAUACUAGGCUCAGAAGAUAAGUUGAAUAAUCAGAAUAACAUUCUUCUUCCCUUUACCUUCAGAUUUCCCCCCCAUGGGAAAGAGAGAGAUA